rnacentral:rRNA from 1 species
CAGGCUUAACACAUGCAAGUCGAGCCGUAGCAUGGUCUUAGCUUGCUAAGGCCGAUGGCGACCGGCGCACGGGUGAGUAACACGUAUCCAACCUGCCGUCUACUCUUGGACAGCCUUCUGAAAGGAAGAUUAAUACAAGAUGGCAUCAUGAGUCCGCAUGUUCACAUGAUUAAAGGUAUUCCGGUAGACGAUGGGGAUGCGUUCCAUUAGAUAGUAGGCGGGGUAACGGCCCACCUAGUCUUCGAUGGAUAGGGGUUCUGAGAGGAAGGUCCCCCACAUUGGAACUGAGACACGGUCCAAACUCCUACGGGAGGCAGCAGUGAGGAAUAUUGGUCAAUGGGCGAGAGCCUGAACCAGCCAAGUAGCGUGAAGGAUGACUGCCCUAUGGGUUGUAAACUUCUUUUAUAAAGGAAUAAAGUCGGGUAUGCAUACCCGUUUGCAUGUACUUUAUGAAUAAGGAUCGGCUAACUCCGUGCCAGCAGCCGCGGUAAUACGGAGGAUCCGAGCGUUAUCCGGAUUUAUUGGGUUUAAAGGGAGCGUAGAUGGAUGUUUAAGUCAGUUGUGAAAGUUUGCGGCUCAACCGUAAAAUUGCAGUUGAUACUGGAUAUCUUGAGUGCAGUUGAGGCAGGCGGAAUUCGUGGUGUAGCGGUGAAAUGCUUAGAUAUCACGAAGAACUCCGAUUGCGAAGGCAGCCUGCUAAGCUGCAACUGACAUUGAGGCUCGAAAGUGUGGGUAUCAAACAGGAUUAGAUACCCUGGUAGUCCACACGGUAAACGAUGAAUACUCGCUGUUUGCGAUAUACAGCAAGCGGCCAAGCGAAAGCGUUAAGUAUUCCACCUGGGGAGUACGCCGGCAACGGUGAAACUCAAAGGAAUUGACGGGGGCCCGCACAAGCGGAGGAACAUGUGGUUUAAUUCGAUGAUACGCGAGGAACCUUACCCGGGCUUAAAUUGCAGAUGAAUUACGGUGAAAGCCGUAAGCCGCAAGGCAUCUGUGAAGGUGCUGCAUGGUUGUCGUCAGCUCGUGCCGUGAGGUGUCGGCUUAAGUGCCAUAACGAGCGCAACCCUUGUUGUCAGUUACUAACAGGUUCCGCUGAGGACUCUGACAAGACUGCCAUCGUAAGAUGUGAGGAAGGUGGGGAUGACGUCAAAUCAGCACGGCCCUUACGUCCGGGGCUACACACGUGUUACAAUGGGGGGUACAGAGGGCCGCUACCACGCGAGUGGAUGCCAAUCCCAAAAACCUCUCUCAGUUCGGACUGGAGUCUGCAACCCGACUCCACGAAGCUGGAUUCGCUAGUAAUCGCGCAUCAGCCACGGCGCGGUGAAUACGUUCCCGGGCCUUGUACACACCGCCCGUCAAGCCAUGGGAGCCGGGGGUACCUGAAGUGCGUAACCGCGAGGAGCGCCCUAGGGUAAAACUGG